UAUAUCAUCUUUUGUAUUCGAUGAUUUGAGAUGUUAAAGAAAAGAAUGUAAUGUGUUAUUAUGAGAAAAUGUGAUGUAAAAAGAAAUGAUGAAAAGCAAUGUAAAGAAUCAUGAAUGUAAAUGGUUUAAAGUAAAUCAUUCUACGUGUAUGUUGUUAGUUUCCUUUCUUUCACUCAUGGCUAUUGCUUACCCUUGUGUAAGCCAUUGUGUAUGUUUCCGCUAGUGCUUUUCUUAACUUGAAAUUGUACAGGUGAUGAGCCUUGGACGGACAGGAAAAACUCUGUCCGUUU
rnacentral:lncRNA from 1 species